rnacentral:pre_miRNA from 1 species
AUUGGUACUCUAACAACGGCACUGACCUUUCCAUAGUAAUUAGUAAGUGCUAUUUGUUGGGGUAGUUUUA